rnacentral:rRNA from 1 species
UGGGGAAUUGUUCGCAAUGGGCGCAAGCCUGACGACGCAACGCCGCGUGGAGGACGAAGACUUUCGGGUCGUAAACUCCUGUCGAGUGGGAAGAAUAGCCUGUGGGUGAAUAGCCUGCAGGAUUGACGGUACCGCUAAAGGAAGCCCCGGCUAACUCCGUGCCAGCAGCCGCGGUAAUACGGGGGGGGCAAGCGUUGUUCGGAAUUACUGGGCGUAAAGGGCUCGUAGGCGGCCAACUAAGUCGGACGUGAAAUCCCUCGGCUUAACCGGGGAACUGCGUCCGAUACUGGAUGGCUUGAAGUCGGGAGAGGGAUGCGGAAUUCCAGGUGUAGCGGUGAAAUGCGUAGAUAUCUGGAGGAACACCGGUGGCGAAGGCGGCAUCCUGGACCGAUAUUGACGCUGAUGAGCGAAAGCCAGGGGAGCAAACGG